rnacentral:tRNA from 1 species
GCCGUGGCUCAACAGCAGAGCACCCGCUUGGCAUGCAGGAGGGUCCCAAGUUCAAUCCCUGGCAUCUCUA